rnacentral:rRNA from 1 species
AGUGAACGCUGGCGGUAGGCCUAACACAUGCAAGUCGAACGGCAGCACAGUAAGAGCUUGCUCUUACGGGUGGCGAGUGGCGGACGGGUGAGGAAUACAUCGGAAUCUACUUUUUCGUGGGGGAUAACGUAGGGAAACUUACGCUAAUACCGCAUACGACCUACGGGUGAAAGCAGGGGAUCUUCGGACCUUGCGCGAUUGAAUGAGCCGAUGUCGGAUUAGCUAGUUGGCGGGGUAAAGGCCCACCAAGGCGACGAUCCGUAGCUGGUCUGAGAGGAUGAUCGGCCACACUGGAACUGGGACACGGUCCAGACUCCUACGAGAGGCAGCAGUGGGGAAUAUUGGACAAUGGGCGCAAGCCUGAUCCAGCCAUACCGCGUGAGUGAAGAAGGCCUUCGGGUUGUAAAGCCCUUUUGUUGGGAAAGAAAAGCAGCAGGUUAAUACCCCGCUGUUCUGACGGUACCCAAAGAAUAAGCACCGGCUAACUUCGUG